GAUGAACGCUGGCGGCGUGCCUAAUACAUGCAAGUCGAGCGAACAGACGAGGAGCUUGCUCCUCUGACGUUAGCGGCGGACGGGUGAGUAACACGUGGAUAACCUACCUAUAAGACUGGGAUAACUUCGGGAAACCGGAUCUAAUACCGGAUAAUAUAUUGAACCGCAUGGUUCAAUAGUGAAAGACGGUUUUGCUGUCACUUAUAGAUGGAUCCGCGCCGCAUUAGCUAGUUGGUAAGGUAACGGCUUACCAAGGCAACGAUGCGUAGCCGACCUGAGAGGGUGAUCAGCCACACUGGAACUGAGACACGGUCCAGACUCCUACGGGAGGCAGCAGUAGGGAAUCUUCCGCAAUGGGCGAAAGCCUGACGGAGCAACGCCGCGUGAGUGAUGAAGGUCUUCGGACCGUAAAACUCUGUUAUUAGGGAAGAACAAAUGUGUAAGUAACUAUGCACGUCUUGACGGUACCUAAACAGAAAGCCACGGCUAACUACGUG
rnacentral:rRNA from 1 species